rnacentral:lncRNA from 1 species
GGUUCAUCAAAAACAGGAAGUCAAAGGUCUGAAUACUCUUCCUGUGAAUCAACAGAGAAAGCCUUCUCAUCUGAGCCCACGAAUAUGCAGCCUAGGGCCACUGACUUGUAAGAAUGGAGAGUUGCAAGCUGGACCCUGGGGUAUCAAGUGUAUAUCCAUGCCAAAUAGACACAAAGCUGGAAGGGGCGUGAUUUGAAAUGCUCUGGGUUGGUUACACGUCAUGGAAGAGUGAGGUUUGAUGUUGCCACGAUGAGAGGAAAACCUUUGGAGUCAUUUUCUUUGGAGUGGGAGUUGGGAUGGUUUGCUGCAGACACCCAGAUGUUUGAUGCUAUGUCCUUUUAUCUUCACCUGCAUGAGGCCGCUUGAUAUGUAAGU